GCGCCUGUGGCUCAAAGGAGUAGGGCACUGGCCCCAUAUGCCAGAGGUGGCGGGUUCAAACCCAGCCCUGGCCA
rnacentral:tRNA from 1 species